rnacentral:rRNA from 1 species
AACGAACGCUGGCGGCAUGCCUAACACAUGCAAGUCGAACGAAGUCUUCGGACUUAGUGGCGGACGGGUGAGUAACACGUGGGAACGUACCUUUUGGUUCGGAACAACUCAGGGAAACUUGAGCUAAUACCGGAUGAGCCCUUAGGGGGAAAGAUUUAUCGCCGAAAGAGCGGCCCGCGUUAGAUUAGCUAGUUGGUGAGGUAAAGGCUCACCAAGGCUACGAUCUAUAGCUGGUCUGAGAGGAUGAUCAGCCACACUGGGACUGAGACACGGCCCAGACUCCUACGGGAGGCAGCAGUGGGGAAUCUCGCGCAAUGGGCGAAAGCCUGACGCAGCCAUGCCGCGUGAAUGAUGAAGGUCCUAGGAUUGUAAAAUUCUUUUACCAGGGACGAUAAUGACGGUACCUGGAGAAAAAGCCCCGGCUAACUUCGUGCCAGCCGCCGCAGUAACAC